rnacentral:lncRNA from 1 species
GCCUGGGUCGAUAAUUGAUAUCGAAUUUCGUGAGCUCGAUCACCCAUUUUGCCAUCCUCCCGGAGGUAUCUGCCCGGUGCAGGACCGCCUUGAUUGGUUGGUCGGUGAGUAGUGUCAUGGUGUGCCCUUGAAAGUAGGGUCGGAGCCUCCGAGCUGCAAUCAACAAGGCGUAAGUCAGUUUUUCUAAUUUGGUGUACCUG